AAGGCAAAUGUGGUGGUUUUCUGGUGUGCUUAAGUAUGAUUGGGUGGCCUUUUUCCACUGUCCACCUGAGUAUGCCGAUGGGAUGUAGAACUUUCUGAAGACUUGUGUCAAAGUUCAGUUCCUUUAAGGUCCCUUCAGAUGUCAGUUUCCUCGUCUCACAUGAACUAAUAAUUACUUCUGUGUUACCAAGAUUUGAGAUAAUGUAAAUCAGAUGCCAGCAGUAUGAACAUUGUGAGUCACCAUGAUGUGUAAGAACACCAGGGAGUGAGUCACUCCGUAGCACCUGUGGAUGGGAGUGGUGGGAAAGGGAGCAUGGUGGGGGCUGGCUGGUUUGGGAGUUUAGGAUGAAUAACAGGGUUGCAGUGAUGGGUAAAGUGGCUAGUGGGACCGCUUAUGGGAUGCCUGGUGUUAGCAUGUUCCCAGUGAGUGAACAAGGAAGACCUGUUUUGACACUUGGGGUCAUAGAUUGUUUUCAGGUAAUUCCUGCAAGAACAAUCAGUUGUGGUUUGUGACUUCAUGUCCUGAGACCAGUGUAUCAUUCUUAAUGCCCUGCAUUUUUAAGAAAUACCCUGAUAUCUUUAGAAAGAUUAACUUACAAAGUUAGCUGGUCUGAUAGCCUUUUGGUUUUAUAUUAGUAAUCCCCCCUCCCCCCCCAAAGAGAUGGAGUCCAGAGCUGUGAUGGAGCCAAAAGCAACUUCCUAGUUUCUCUGAAAUAAGUACCCAAAAAAGUGCUAUUCUAUUCCAAAGAGAGGACAAAAUUCCACGCUUGUCCUGGCACAGUUUUCCCGGUGGAUUAACCCCAGAGGGUUAAUUCAGGACACAAACCUUUGAUCAGGAUUCUUACGGAGAACGCUUUCAGUUCAUGUCCACACUAACAGUGUUGGAGGUCCAGCUACUGGACUUCACGUGAUUGCAGCCUGACCUGAGGGAAAGUCAGUUCCCUCCCUUUGACUUCUGCAACCACCAACCUGUGGCCCAGAUCCACAGUAGGUCCUGGGCUUUGUACAGAUUUGUAAGAGGCCACUCCACAAAUAACAGUAUCUCUUCUGUUUGAGACAGUGUUUAUUUUGGAAGGUGAUGUUAGAGAAAAGCUAGAGGAGGCCUUACUGAGUGUUUUACCGGGGAAUUGACAGGAUUUAUUUAUGAGUGAUAAGAGUACCUGGGUUAGAGCAGGUGCUGUGUAGGCCCCAAAGCAGGGUUGCAUCUCUACAAAGGCAGGCUCUACUUAUAUAGGCUUGCAUAGUGGCCACAUCUGCAUUGUGGGCGUGCCGGAUGUUAGUGAGAGCUUAUAGUAUAGGCCUUAGAUAUCACCGUGGCAGUUGGCAGGCACAUUCCACACUGCAUCUUUAGGUGUAGGUGAGACUUUAUAGAGGAGCUAACUAAACCCAUUGUCACACAGCUUGUGUCUGGGUUGAGCCGAAGGGCUGCUGGUGUCUUUGGUGUGGUACAGGUUCUCCCACUGUGGAUGUUGUACUGAACUUGACAGUGGUGUCAGUUGAAUAUGCUAUACGAGCCUGACUGUGCCUGGUCAAGUGUGACUGUGCUAAGGACAGCACCUGCGACUAGCAGGAAUCUGGAUGUACCCUGAGGAAGGGCUGUGUCCUGCAAACAAGUAGUCAAUUGUUAGUGGCAGGGGAGGAAAGCAAGGUUGAGCUCAUCAUAGGAGCUUUCUCUGUGGGCUUCCUUUAAGGCCUAGUACAGUUCAAGGGCCCCUGUGUGAGUGGCUCACCUCAUUUUGGUAGCCUGGAGUCUACAGCAAAGUAGCAGAAAGAAGGCAAGAGCCAAUCCCUGAAGGUUGUCCUCUAACCUUGGAGUGUAUGCUGUUGCUAUGUGGUUAUACUCAUGCGCACAUCUCUCUGUCUCUGUCUCUCUGUCUCUCUGUCUCUCUUUUACACACAGACAUGCACACACAUGCAUACAUACAGAAUGAAAAAUGCUGAGGUAGUUUUGAUUCAAGUUAACUGAA
rnacentral:lncRNA from 1 species